GCUCUUUAAAUUGAUUUAGUGAUUUGGAGAGCUCGUUAGUUUAAAACAAUCUCCAUUUUCUUUAAUAAGACCGGAGUCCUUUUUUAAGAAACAUAUGCAUCACUCUCUGCCCCGUAGUGCCAGGCAGAGCCCAGAUGUGCCCGUGUUCAGAGUAGAAGCAGCUUCUCGGGAGAUAUUUGUGUUGAAGCAGCUGUGCCUGCGACAAUGAAGCAGC